ACGAAGGGGGCUAGCGUUGUUCGGAAUUACUGGGCGUAAAGCGCACGUAGGCGGCCUGUUAAGCUGGAUGUGAAAGCCCCGGGCUCAACCUGGGAAUGGCCUCCAGAACUGGCAGGCUAGAGUACAGUAGAGGGUGGUGGAAUUUCCGGUGUAGCGGUGAAAUGCGUAGAUAUCGGAAGGAACAUCAGUGGCGAAGGCGACACCCUGGACCGAUACUGACACUGAGGCGCGAAAGCGUGGGUAGCGAACAGGA
rnacentral:rRNA from 1 species